GCAGAGCAUCCUACGGGAGGCAGCAGUGGGGAAUAUUGCACAAUGGGCGCAAGCCUGAUGCAGCCAUGCCGCGUGUAUGAAGAAGGCCUUCGGGUUGUAAAGUACUUUCAGCAGUGAGGAAGGUGGGUAUGUUAAUAGCAUAUUCAUUUGACGUUAGCUGCAGAAGAAGCACCGGCUAACUCCGUGCCAGCAGCCGCGGUAAUACGGAGGGUGCGAGCGUUAAUCGGAAUUACUGGGCGUAAAGCGCAUGCAGGUGGUUUGUUAAGUCAGAUGUGAAAGCCCGGGGCUCAACCUCGGAAUUGCAUUUGAAACUGGCAAACUAGAGUACUGUAGAGGGGGUAGAAUUUCAGGUGUAGCGGUGAAAUGCGUAUAGAUCUGAAGGAAUACCGGUGGCGAAGGCGGCCCCCUGGACAGAUACUGACACUCAGAUGCGAAAGCGUGGGGAGCAAACAGGAUUAGAUACCCUGGUAG
rnacentral:rRNA from 1 species